GUCUACGGCCAUGUCACUCUGAAUAAGCCCAAUCCCGUCUGAUCUCGGAAGCUAAGUAGGGUCGGGCCUGGUUAGACUUCGGGCCUAGGGAGACCACCUAGGAAGACCAGGUGCUGUAGGCG
rnacentral:rRNA from 1 species